AUGGAUGUACCUACCAGGAUCAGCAACAGUUCACCUUUGAAGCUCUCAGUGUCUUUGAUAGGUCACACUAAAGCAGUCGAUUGUGUGGACUGGUCACCGAGUCAUGGUAUACAUCUUCUUGCUUUUGCUAGAAUGGAUCAUACUAUCUGCAUAUGGAACGUGUGGAAUAGAGGGAAUACCACUGCUCAAGUUCUAAAACAUCAUAGUGCUGCUGUAAAGGAUGUCAAGUGGUCCCAUCAUCGGCCCUUCUUACUUUCUGGGGGGUUUGAUUGUUCCUCACGACCAGUUGAUGCCGAGGCAGGAAAAGAAAUCAUGGUAUUCAAGGACGAUCAACCAGUGGAGGUCAUCAAAUUCAAUCCAAGCAACUCAAAUCUCUUCAUGUCUGGUGGGUCUAAGGGUUCUCUUAGACUCUGGGAUAUUCGAACUGGCUUGGUAACUAAAGAGUGCAACAAACCAUCCUUGACCUUGAAUUCAGUGCUGAUGGGAAACAUCUUAUCUCUUCAACUGACACAACCAGAAGCAAUGUUAGUGACAACAACUAUAAUUGUAUGGGACAUAUUACGAGAAGUUCCUCUAUCUAACAAGAAUAAUGUUAGUCUUCCUUUUUUUUCUCAUGGUAAUAUGUGUCUCAUUCAUAUCAUAAAGAUUAAAAUACAAGUCACAUAA
rnacentral:rRNA from 1 species